GGCACGUCCCUCCGUCUGUCAGUCCACAGCAGACCCUGAACGUCUCGGAACCAGGAGGGCGAACAACAGACGUCACUUCUGCUCCACUUCCGCUCCUUUGUGCGCGUGCGCACUUGCUGGCUGAGUUCAGAGUGUACCCUGCCUCCUGCCCGAUGCCAGCUGGGAUUGGCUCCAGCACUCCCGCGACCCUAAUGAGGAUAAGCGGCUCAGAAAAUGGAUGGAUGGAACAACACAACAACAACAACAGAGCCCUAACAAAACAUCUAUGGGUAACACUUACUGCUUGAGAGACGGCGGAACAGUGGACAACCAGUGAGCACAUAUGCCUCACAUUUCUGACGACUGGGAUUCAAAUCUCAGCUUGUUCUGCCCGUGGCUGUGCGAGUUUUCUCUCAGCACUCCAGCUUCCUCCCCAAAACAUCCAUGAUAGGUUGAUGCUAACUCGCCUGUAAGUGUGAAUGUGAGUGCAAAUGGUUAUAUGUUUAGGCAGCUGUUGCCCAAUGGUUAAGAUCAUCACCUGCCACCCCGAGGGACCUAGAUUGAAAACCCAGACCGGGCCAUUUGCCAACAUCUCACGGCUGUGGCGUCCUUGAGCAAGUCACUGAUACUCUGAACUGCUGCCCUCAUGCUCUGGUGUGUAUGUGUGUGUGUUCACUGAUAGGUAAAAUGCAGAGAACAAUUUUUGUGUGAAUCCAUGCAUGUUCAUGACAAUAAACGUGAUUCUUUUUCGUUUGUAUGCGUCCUGCGAUUGGACGGAGACCAGUUCAGGAUGUCCCCUGCCUCUUGCCCGAAGAUAACUGGGAUAGGCUUCAGUAUGCCCGCAAACCCUUGUGAGGAUAAGCGGUGGAUGGAUGGAUAUAUAUCUUCCAUAUACAGUAUAGACAUGGUAAAAUUCUGACUUGUUUAAAAAAAAUGCAUCUUUUUGUCCAUAAGAUUACAACUAAAUUGCAAAAUGCCACUUUUUAGCAGUAAAGUUAUGACUUUCAUUUGGAAGAUGAAGAAAAAUAGUAAAAAAUUAGUUUGUAAAAAUAUUUCCCCCCAUCUGUCUCCUAUAUCUAUGAGCCUGAAAUGUAAACACUCCCACAGUGGUUGGAAUUGUCCUUUUAAUUGGACCACUGCACACAUCAGCGAUCAGUGUCAGCCCUAAAAGAAUUUUUGUCCCGGCGUCACUAAAAUAUAAUAGGAAGUGUAAAAAUGUAUAAAUAUGCCUCAUUAUAUCACCCAGUAUACGCAUGCUCUCUGAAUCCUCCCGAGUGCUUCAAGUUGGCCAUGUUUUAUUCAUAGUGAAGAGAAAACAGAAGGAGCACACGCCUGUCAAUUGCAUGUUCACACCUAAACUCAACACCCACGCCCAUACUGUGACUCAUUUGUCCCCUUCCGCGUAUAUGUGUGUGUAUUAGUGUGUACGUGUGUGUUUGUGUGCAUGUGUAUAUGUGUGUGUGUGCAUGUGUGCUUGCGUGGUGGGCUUGGACUGCUGUCUUGGCAAGAAUAUGU